rnacentral:lncRNA from 1 species
UGUCAAGGCCUACUAGUACACAAAUUUCCUUUGUUUCUCCUUGAGCCCUGGCCAGGCUUGAUGUGGAAUCCAAAGGGAAAAUGAAGCCAGAUGUUUCCACCUAAUUGUCAUGUAAUCUUGUUUGUCCAACAAUAUGAAAGAUGGACCCUCUCGUAGUGAAGUUGGAAACAUAGCCUACGAGUGGAAACCUUUAUCCGUUUAUGUGCUAUGUGUGCCAACAACAGGAGUCCAACAAAGACUGUUUAACCAUUUCCAUGUGUGCAAAGGAAGACAAAUACUGUGUGACUGUCCGUGACAAUGUUGGAACAAGUAAGUUACUGAACAACUCUUUAUUUGUGCUGUAGGGAAAGGAGUCCUAUGAAUUCAUGCUAGUCACAGCCACAUAUGGAAACAAUAGACCCAGUCACCAAUUGUUAGGAAACCCUGCUGCUCCCUAUUGCAAACACUGCAGUGUUGCUUGAUA